GUUUCCUCUCGCCCCCCCCUCCGGAGGUCAGGUUACGCCGGCGCAGGCUCACAUUCUGGGCAAUGUCGCCGGCCUCUGCGUCAAACCACGCAAGCGCGGUCCGGCGCACCUGACCCGUCAGGCUUUCGUCCGAAGACUACGCAGGCGCAGUCGCCGCGGCGGUUGCUUAGACUAGCUGCACGGUCGGGAGCGCGCGUCCAUCGCGGUUUCUUCUCAGGGCUUGGCCGUUACUGGUGGUCCUGCGCUCUCCCAACGGCUGGCCGCGGGGUUUCCGGGCUGUGGUCGGGGCGUGCGCGCAGCUUCUUUCGGUAGACUGUGGGUGGAGGCUAGACGCAGCAGGUGGUAGCUGCGCAGAGCCUGGGCCCUGUUUGGGUAAAAGAAAUAAGGAGUUUCAAAUUCCUGUGCGGACCAAGUUAUCUCUGCAAGUGGGAUUUGGCCCAGAGGGCUUUCUAUGCAGACACUGUGGACCACAGCUUGUCAUUUUAUGCGGAAGUUCUGUCCCACACUCUGCUGUCUUCUGUCAUGCUGUUUUGGACUAGUUUCUUCUGUGAUUUAGGAUUAUAAACCCAGAUGAGGGUCACAGGUUGAAGCAACUGAUUCACGGCCACUGGUCAAUGAAGAUGGUUUGGAAUUCCGUGUCUAAGGUUCAAAGACAAGGCCUGAAGGGAAGGUGGUUGGGCUGCCAGUGCUCCUCAGAUGGAACUUUUGGCCAUCGUUGGUCUGGAACCCUGAGCCUACCUUAUUUAUGUCUUCUCUCUCUGCCUUUUAUUCAGGGUAUCUGAUGCCUGUGGUUGAAGGUGGUGGCUGCAUAUCAGUCUAGAUGGGGAACACCCCAGACAUGCUUGGGUGGAGGUUUUAGCUAGCAGGUUCCCUACUAAUCUACCUCUCAAUGUUGUCCCCCGCUUGCACAUCACUCCACACCUCAUGCAAAAGGUAACAGGGAUCCACCUCUUCUCUUAUAGCCGGAGGGACAGAUGGGACAGAACUAGCUUCAGGAAGGAUUUCAGAAGCCCCAGGAAAACAGUUCCAGAAUAACAAAUGAAAUAAUUAGGAGAGAGUAUGAACAUUUGCCCACGAGGACUCAGCCCAGCAGGAGGUCUCAAUUGGCUUGUUUGUACAGCUUCAUACUAAACCACCUAACUAAACUCUUUCAGUCCUCCUAGCCCUGCCCAAGCUGUGCAGGGGAACAAAGAAAAGGGAAGUGGAAGAGAAAUGAGGCUACUUGCCUGGUGUGCAAGGAACAAGCUUCCCCUUCUGUGUCUUGUGUAGUGUCAAGAUGUCCAGGGUUUUGGAGGGCUAGGACAUAUUUGCAUGUCCAUAGGGACCCUAAGAGGCAAAGACCAGACAAGAGUUGAUGACAUUUGAAAUCCUUCUUGGUUCUUAUUUGUUAUGUUAGAGUGAGGCAGUGGGUCCAGUAACGGGAAGGAGGAUGCUACGGGCAGAGCAUCAGCCCUUUGAGAGUGACUGUCCCUGAGAAGGGGAAGAGCAAGCAGAGCACUGUUUGGUUAGCCAGAAACUAGUUUUGUUUCGACAUGUGCCUGUAUGCAUACCCGAUUUCCAAGAAGAUUGGAACCUUAGCAUAGGAACCCCCUUGGGUCCUGGGGGAAGGGUCUAGUCAUGACCUCUUACAUCUCUGCUCUCACAGAACCACCCAACAGAGAAGAGUCUGUUGCUCCAGGGUUCAGAAAGGAAGUGCCUGCUAGGCUUCCUGUAUGAAGAAGUGUUUGCUUCUAUAUGAUCAAGAGCAGAAGUCGAGGCCCUUGUUUCCAGCAAGAUGGGCCAUGGAGCGUGGAGAACCACCCAGAAACUCCUGGGCAAGCUAACCUGGAGCAUACAGUGGAGCACCAGCAACCUAUAAGAGAGACCUUGCCUCAAGUUGUAAGGCAAGAACCAACUAUAAAAAGUUGCCCUUUGACCGCCACACAUAUGCUAGCACUUACAUAUACAUAAAAUAAAGAACAAAUUUGAAAGUC